rnacentral:rRNA from 1 species
AGAGUUUGAUCCUGGCUCAGAACGAACGCUGGCGGCAGGCUUAACACAUGCAAGUCGAACGCUCGUAGCAAUACGGGAGUGGCAGACGGGUGAGUAACGCGUGGGAACAUACCCUCCGGUUCGGAAUAGCUCAGGGAAACUUGGAUUAAUACCGGAUACGGCUGAGAGGCGAAAGAUUUAUCGCCGGAGGAUUGGCCCGCGUUCGAUUAGCUUGUUGGUGAGGUAACGGCUCACCAAGGCGAUGAUCGAUAGCUGGUCUGAGAGGAUGAUCAGCCACAUUGGGACUGAGACACGGCCCAAACUCCUACGGGAGGCAGCAGUGGGGAAUAUUGGACAAUGGGCGCAAGCCUGAUCCAGCCAUGCCGCGUGAGUGAUGACGGCCUUAGGGUUGUAAAGCUCUUUCGCUCGGGACGA